GACGAACGCUGGCGGCGUGCUUAACACAUGCAAGUCGAACGGUAAGGCCUUUCGGGGUACACGAGUGGCGAACGGGUGAGUAACACGUGGGUGAUCUGCCCUGCACUUCGGGAUAAGCCCGGGAAACUGGGUCUAAUACCGGAUAGGACUGCGCGGUGCAUGCCGUGUGGUGGAAAGAUUUAUCGGUGCAGGAUGGGCCCGCGGCCUAUCAGCUUGUUGGUGGGGUAAUGGCCUACCAAGGCGACGACGGGUAGCCGGCCUGAGAGGGCGACCGGCCACACUGGGACUGAGACACGGCCCAGACUCCUACGGGAGGCAGAAGUGGGGAAUAGUGCACAAUGGGCGCAAGCCUGAUGCAGCGACGCCGCGUGAGGGAUGACGGCCUUCGGGUUGUAAACCUCUUUCAGCAGGGACGAAGCGUGAGUGACGGUACCUGCAGAAGAAGCACCGGCCAACUACGUG
rnacentral:rRNA from 1 species